AAAAAAUAUUGACUGACUUUAGAUUUUUCUUUGGAAUAUGUGUAUGGAGAGCCCUCUUUUAUAGUAAAUUUUAUUGGCACAUGUAUGAUUGUUUAGUUUCUAUGUUUUUAGUAGUGCUUUUUUUAUUAUUAUAAUUAAAAACAGAUAUAUAUUUGGCUUAUGAGUUUAUAAUUCAUGUAUUACUAUUAUUAAUUUUUUUUUGGAUUAAUUUAUUAUUUUUUUAUGAAAUUGGAAAAGAAAGUAAUUAAAAUCUUAAUUGUUAUAAUGAAUUUAAUAAAUAAA
rnacentral:rRNA from 1 species